GCCCGGUUAGCUCAAUCGGUAGAGCGUGAGACUCUUACGAGUACUCCACAUCUCAAGGUUGCGGGUUCGACCCCCGCAUCGGGCU